rnacentral:lncRNA from 1 species
GUUACUGCCACCCUCUCCCAGGUCUAGAGAGGGGUACCCACGGUGGAGGGAGGUGGGAGGCCGAGACGGCCCCGGGGGUCGGCGGAGACCCAGCGGGAGCAGGGGGAAAUCGGAAGAGCUGGGGGCAUGGAGCGGGCGAGUUUGGAGCGGAAUGAGCCGGGAGCCCUACGUUGUGGAAGGAAGACAACAGUAUAGGACCAUCAGCAGGACCGGACAGAGAGGGGCACACCAGGCUGGCCUUGAACUCAGAAAUCCGCCUGCCUCUGACUCCCGAGUGCUGAGAUUAAAGGUGUGCACCACCACACCCGACAAGGAAGCCUGUUUUAAGAAGUGAUUCCAUGGAGGAGUUCUGCGGCGGCUCAGGGCUUGACUAAACAGUGGACCUCAGGGUCCCAUUUCUCUCAGUAGACAAGAGAGGCUAAACCAGGCUGCAGGUGACAGGAAGAAUUGAAUAAACUGAAAGCAAAGGGCAGCCUUCUAAUUACGCUUCGUGGCUAUGUGGACAACCUGGAGAAGUCUGGAAACAAAGAAGCCAGAAGCCCGAAGCCAGCAGUAGAGCUCUGACUGGCUUGUAUGCCUAGAAAGGAAGGGCUCUUCUUUCGCCUCACGGGCACAAAUGGGACCCACGAGCGCCGAUUUCAGACUAUUCUGAUCCCUUCAAAAAGAAAGUUAGGAGUCCAGGCUACUUCACUUUGGUGAUAGUAAUCAAACCCUAAUCACGGUGCAGCCACAAGUCACAGAGACCGAAAUAGCAGACUUAUGACAGACAAGGAUGGAGACAGCUAAGGAACUGGCUAUUAAUCACCAGUCCCUCUGCUCACAGCCCAUUGGACCCGAGGGUGAAGGAUGAGGAGGAUGGAAGAAAAUGGGAGUGGCGCUUGCUGCAAAGGGUCUCGAAGGGUCUCAGCACCUGCGAACUGGCUCCAAUCCAAACUCCACUAUUCAUGGUCAAGUUCACAUAGGGCUUGGGGUUCUAACAAGAUGUGACUAAACUUACGUUUUCUAUCUUAUUGAUUGUUGUUGAUGCACGUCUGGUGGUACAUGCUUGAAGAACACAGACACCCUGAGAAGAAAGACAUAGCUCCCCAGAUUCCAGCACGCACUUCUCUGUGAGCUACCACUGUAGCUGAAGAUACAGGGCUCAGGAGGAACACUUGGCCUUCGCUCUGAACUUCAGGCCCACGUAACCAUCAGCCGACAUGACACUGCAAAGGCACCUUAGCUCUGCUGUCCCAGAUGGCCAAGCCAACCUUAUUCCAGAAGCUACUUCUCCUGAUGUAAGAACCAGACACAAAGGACAACCUCUGCCUCACCCUCCUUCACACAACACUGAGUCUGUCAUCUUUGAAGCAUUUCUCAAGCCAUGUUUAUUCCCCUGGCCUACGUGGAACACAGCCAGGGUACGGAACACAACCUCAGCACCGGUCUGCUUUCCUCUCCCCAUUUCUGGUCUUUCUCAGAUGCCCAGAGCUCCUCUGUCCCAAUGACUGCUUAUCAAAGAUCUCACUGUGUCCCCACCCAAGGGGUCUUUGGCCACCCUGUGAAGUCCUAGUGGCCUGGAGUUUGCCCCCUUUCCCAGACACCUUAGGGUUCCUGCUGCAGCUCCAGAACUGGGGGAGCAGGGUUGGGGGUGAGUGUGUGUGUGUGUGUGUGUGUGUGUGUGUGUGUGUGUGUUGACUCACCCUGCAGUAUUCUCUCCAUCUGCACAGGUCCCCAGUCUCUGAGACUGAAUCACCCCUCUUUCACUAUGCCUCUGCACAGCUGCCCUUGUGCUCCCUCUCCUUGCCCCGCCUCUUUUUAAGACAGUAUUAUGCAGCCCUGGCUGUCCUGGAACUUAUGUAAACCAGCCUGGCCUUGAACUUGCAGAGAUCCACCUGCCUUUGCCUCUGCCCCUGCCCCUGCCCCUGCCCCUGCCCCUGCCCCUGCCCCUGCCUUUCUGCCUCUGCCUCUGCCUCUCUGCCUUUCUGCCUCUGCCUCUCUGCCUCUGCCUCUCUGCCUCUGCCUCUCAAGUGUCAGGGAUUAAUGCCUGCCACCUCCCCAGUCCCACCCCUCUCCAUCUACCAUGUGGGUUCCACGGGGCAAACCCAAGUCAUCAGGCUUGUUGGCCAGUGCCUUUAUCCACUGAGCCAAGCCGCUUGGUGUGUCUUUGAUGGUGAUUAUUUACAGGAGCUAUUCAGCAAGGUUAAAUGCUGGCAACCCAAUGAGGGGGUCUCUUGAUCCAAAACUGAGAAGUUGAGGCACUAUUUCAGAAUGACCAAAGACAGUAGAAGAAUCUAGAUAUGUCGAUGAUGAGAACAAUGAUAACUCCAAAAGCUGAGGGAAAUUAACUCAAAAUCUUCCAGCUUCCUUUUCCUUACCUAGUUUGGCGGACUCCAACUCUUGGGAUAGCUUUUUUUCUGGCCCCAAACUCACCUGAUUCGUCUGUCCACUGCCACACUGAAGAAUGAACAGCUGUCUCAGAGAGCUUGGCUCCAGAGCUCUGCAAAAAGAGGACACCUUGCCUUGAGCUGUGUUUCCAGAAUGUAUUGCAGCCCCCAGAGUCAUGUACUGUGACCAGGUGAGGACAUGCAUCUUCUGUUCUCCUGCACCCAGGGCCCCAGCAACCAAGGAUCUGGGGACAUGGCGGGUGUUUGGCAGGUUCGCACUCUGAAAAUAUUUGAUGAGACUCAGUAUAUGCUAAAUAAACACUGGAUCAAGU